UUUUCUAAAUUACUUAAAUUACUCAAAAAGUGGUCAAUAGAUCUCAAUCAAAUUUUAAUGAAACUACAAGAUAAGCAUUAGCUUUCUAUUACAACAAGAAUUAUAACCGGUAUACCCAGUAAUAAGUUAU